rnacentral:rRNA from 1 species
UACGGGGGGGAGCAAGCGUUGUUCGGAUUUACUGGGCGUAAAGGGCGCGUAGGCGGCCACCGCAAGUCAGUUGUGAAAUCUCUGGGCUUAACCCAGAAAGGUCAACUGAUACUGCGGGGCUAGAGUGCAGAAGGGGCAACUGGAAUUCUCGGUGUAGCGGUGAAAUGCGUAGAUAUCUGGAGGAACACCGGUGGCGAAGGCGGCGUCCUGGACCAACACUGACACUGAUGAGCGAAAGCCAGGGGAGCAAACGGG